CUUAUUGAAGGCAUGGAAGAUCAAUCAAAGUGUAUUAAUUGAAACAAUCGUUAAUACUGAUUCUUCCUUCAACAAUUUUUAUCCUUUUCUUCCUUCCGUCCAUUCAUUUAAUGUAUAUUACAAACUAAUCCAUCAUCUUUCAAUGUUAUACAGAUGAAUAUUAUACUGAGCAUCAACUAAUGUCAAUCUAAUCAGCAACUUCAACGCAAUGAAAGUGUAAAUCAAAGUUAAUAAUGAAGGCAACCAAAUUUGAUGAUCAGUGAAAUUUCAAUCGAUAAUCCUUGACCCAAAGUGUAAAGGCCAGUGAUUAGUUGUUACGAUGAUAAUGAUAAUGAAUAACCCGAACGAUGAUCUGGAAAAGGCCAUUUACCUGUUUGAUGUUGCGGUUUUAUCGCCUGGUUAAAUCCAAAAUAAGAACUGUUCAUCGCCCGUUUAAACAGUUAAACAGGCUCAAGUUGUCAAUACAAAAAAAAUGGAAAGUUGAAUCAAUGCUAAAAUAAAUUUGGAUAAAUCAACUAAUAGUUAAGCUGGUUAACUGAUAAUGCUUAUCCGUUGGUUUGAGGUUCAGAUUUGGGUUAGAGUUUCCGUCGAUUAAAGAAACUUGGACCAUUGAUCUUUUUUCAUCACCAUCUUGAUCAUCGCCUACAUCAUCAUGAUAUUUAUCAUAAUCAUCAUCAUCAUCUUAUCUUCUUUCAAGGAAUUGAUAUCCACUUGAUACAAAACAAGCAAUAUAAUUAACAGCUCCAGACAAAACAAGUUUGUUAGCUUGAAAAUGAAUGUGAAUCAAACUAUGGAACGGAUCCUGAGGCAAUUCAACAGUUUAACUAUUGAUCAAUAAUAAUUUUGUUGGUGAUCAGUUAUUUACAAUUUAAAAAAUGUUGAAAGCUUCAAGUUAUUUGUUAUAAUAUCUGUAAAAACAGACUGAAAAGGCCACUUGAACAUAUUUUAACUAUUGAUCAAUAACUGUUGACCUUGUUCAGCUUAUAAAUCACCAAAUUGGCAGUUUAGUUGAGACUUUUAUUGACCCAAGUUUGGUGAUUGUUACGGUCUAUUAAUUGGUUGUAAUCAAGGAAACAAAGGCUUUAAUCAACAGGAAACAAUAAAGGUUGUUGCUAUUUAAUCAUAAUUGUCAUUAAAUUUUGGAUCAAAGAAAAGCUUAAUCAUCAACAAAAUCAAAGGAACCACAAAAAUACAUUUGCUUUUAAUAGAGACACAAAUUAAGAAUCCAAAAAAGAGUCCAAAACCAAAAAGCUUAACACAACAAGUAAUUCCAAUUCAGAUCUCCAGCUGUUAUCAAUUAUUUGGACUAUUUUGAUUGGAUUCUUGAUUCGUUUAAAUAUUUAAGCAAAUUAUGGUUAAUGCUGUGGUGUUGAUGGAGCCAAACAUUACCAGUUAUCGAGUUUAUUACAACCAGAGCGACCAAACACACUCGGACUUAACCACUUGUUCAAGCCCUUGGUUUCAUAUAUUGGAAGCAAAUUUUUGAUCGACAUCAAACCUGCUAAUCAUCUUGAACAAUCAACAAUUUACAAUACAAUGGAAAGUCCAAAUAUUCAUUGAUUCAGUAACCAGUAACAAUUGGAAUCAGCCUUGAAAAUGAACGUUUCAACAAAAAGUCUAAAAAAGGAAAGUAAAAUUCCAGGAGAAAAAAAAUCAUCCCAUGGUCAACACAAAUAGAAACCGAAGUACAAUUGAUCCUAAUUUUCUGGAAAAUCAACAGUAAUUUGAUGGUUACAAUCAUUACAACCACACUCGAUUGCACUGAAAACUUGCCAUGUUGAAAUUGUAACAGAAUCUUGAUAAUUUCCAUAAUCAGAUUAGAUUGAAAGGAUACUUUUGCGUACAAAAGCAGAGCAAUUACAUAAUUUUGUAAAUUCAGUGGCACAGAUUGAUCAAUGAUUAACAAUCACUUUUACCAAGAUAAAUCAUUUUCCAAUAUUCUGUAUAAAUCAAAUUAACGAUGAAUAAUUUCACUGAUUCAUUACUUUUAUCAAUUGUCCACAGUUAAGUUCAAAUGUAGUUCAACAUACCAAAUGCUUUAUAUUAUUUAAUAGUCAUUAAUCACAAAUUACUAUUAAAUAAUAACCAACCUUGGUAAUUCAUCCUUUAAUUGAGAUGUUGUACAAUCAAUGAAACCAAUAGAUGUAAACAAAAUUCAAACCUCAAUCAACUUAAAUGAUUAUCAAAUAAAAACAAGUAAAGUUGA